rnacentral:lncRNA from 1 species
CAGAACCAAUCAGUGAGGAGUCUUCUCUGUUCUUUAUGAAAUGCAGGUCAUCUUCGAUUGGGCUUCUCUCUGGUCCACCCCUAACUGCCUGUCUCAAUGCUGUGGUUUCAAGUCCUUAAUCCUAGAGAAGGAGUGGCUCUUCCCUGGUUGUCCAGGGAGUAUUACUGAGGUCCCCACUGAGAGUCUCAAUCUCCUGCAAGGAAAUAUGACAGAAGGUGAAAGAAAGACACAGAAAUAAGACUUAAACAGAAAGCAAGGAUCUGGUAUCAUCUGAGCUGAUCUGGGCAGCAAAGACAAAAGGCACACAAAACCUCCUGUGUUUACUGAUUACAAGCACGGGAAUAGGGCAGGGUAUAUGUGAGACACUUGCCAAGACUAGUCAUCACAAGCAAGCUCAUAACAGAGGGGCAGUGCAUUCCUGCAGGAGAAACAAAGGGAGACCAGGACUCGGUUGCAGUUAACCGGUAACUGAUCAGGUCAGUGGGGGAGGCCGCAAUGCAGGGAAAGGAAUUUAGUUGGAGCCACACUGUUCUCAGCCAUGAUGUUAUCUCAAUCAGGGUCCUGCAGCUUCACAGACCAGGACAGAGUCUCCUCUACAGCCUGCCAGUAAACUGGACAGGAGAGUCAGCUGGAGAGUAUCGGGUAACCCCACAGGGUCACCACUGCAGGAAUGCCAUCUCAAGGAGAAUAGAUAUUCCAGGAUCCAGAGGGUGCAGGAGCAGCACAAAGACUUGUCAGAGGGAUGACCUGAGGCAGCCCUGGAUCUGAGGAGCAGAGGAGCAGGGCACACAGCAGCCACCUGGGAGACUCACAGGGAAAGGACAGGAAGACGCCAGUGGUGAGGACACAGUGAGCUUUUUAUUUUUUGACAAGGUGAAGCCCGGG